rnacentral:tRNA from 2 species
UCCGGUAUGGUGUAAUGGCUAACAUUUCGCGCUCUCAAACCGAGAGAUCAUCUUGAUCCGCGGAGCUCAGGGUUCGAUUCCCUGUACCGGAG